AUACUUAAGGCUUCGUCACCCAAAUUAAAAGACUGAGUUAAUUAUAAAUGGUUCCUCUACUGUACUUUGCCUGUUGGACAGUCAUCCCCUAGAACUGGAGUCUUUCAAGUCCCCCUUCGAUGCUGGUACCUGCCGACACACUCUACUGGGGCGGCUCCCAGUUUUGAAGUUCCUGCCAGCCCUGGGGACCCAACCGGGGUGACAUUUCUGUUCUUUCAUUUGACUUGACGGACCAACCAGCUGCUGCCUCAGACAUCUGUGCCCAACACAUGUGCUCUGGGGUCCCCAAAGACCUGCCAUGCCUGCUGGCUCUUCUGCCUCUGCAGCUGGCCUUCCAGGCUGUGCCAGACUGUCCCGUCCUUGCUCCUGUGUGGUGCUGGUGUUCCUGACGCUCAGUUGUCUGCUCUCCUUCCACACAUGCUUCCUUGGAGACGUGUAUAAAUCAAGGUACUUUAUUAACAACAGUUCCAUCCAUGUCUCUGCCAGAAACGCACUGAAGGCCUCCUUCCCCAGGGGCUCGGAGAAGCUGUUAAGGCACCAGCUAUUCCCCUGAGCAGCCCGAGGCAUCAGCCCGAGGGACUAGUUCCCAGGGGCCUAGGACUCUGCUCACCCAGUCUUGUCAGCUGGAAGGAGGGCUGAGCCCGAAGGCCUGUAGCCUGGGCCUUGUCGCCAGUCCUCUGCGCGCCGGGCCUAAGGUGCUGGGAUGGCGCAGUUCCUUCCCAGUCAGCCUGCAGCAGUUGCGAACCUGAUGCCACUCUGCCUUCCUCGCCCCCACGUCCAGAUGCAGCAGCUGAGGCCCAGCGAGAUGAAGAGCCCUAUCCAAGGUCGCUCAGCUAACCUGCAGCAGAAUGAGGACUUAAACUCCAGUCUGAUGAUCCAAAAGCCAGGCAGUGAGGCUGCUGCUGUCACAGAC
ensembl:lncRNA